rnacentral:rRNA from 1 species
UACGUAGGGCGCAAGCGUUGUCCGGAAUUAUUGGGCGUAAAGAGCUCGUAGGCGGCUUGUCACGUCGGGUGUGAAAGCCCGGGGCUUAACCCCGGGUCUGCAUUCGAUACGGGCUAGCUAGAGUGUGGUAGGGGAGAUCGGAAUUCCUGGUGUAGCGGUGAAAUGCGCAGAUAUCAGGAGGAACACCGGUGGCGAAGGCGGAUCUCUGGGCCAUUACUGACGCUGAGGCGCGAAAGCUAGGGGAGCAAACGGG